rnacentral:rRNA from 1 species
UAAGCGACUAAGCGUACACGGUGGAUGCCCUGGCAGUCAGAGGCGAUGAAGGACGUGCUAAUCUGCGAUAAGCGUCGGUAAGGUGAUAUGAACCGUUAUAACCGGCGAUUUCCGAAUGGGGAAACCCAGUGUGUUUCGACACACUAUCAUUAACUGAAUCCAUAGGUUAAUGAGGCGAACCGGGGGAACUGAAACAUCUAAGUACCCCGAGGAAAAGAAAUCAACCGAGAUUCCCCCAGUAGCGGCGAGCGAACGGGGAGCAGCCCAGAGCCUGAAUCAGUGUGUGUGUUAGUGGAAGCGUCUGGAAAGGCGCGCGAUACAGGGUGACAGCCCCGUACACAAAAAUGCACAUACUGUGAGCUCGAUGAGUAGGGCGGGACACGUGGUAUCCUGUCUGAAUAUGGGGGGACCAUCCUCCAAGGCUAAAUACUCCUGACUGACCGAUAGUGAACCAGUACCGUGAGGGAAAGGCGAAAAGAACCCCGGCGAGGGGAGUGAAAAAGAACCUGAAACCGUGUACGUACAAGCAGUGGGAGCACGCUUCGGCGUGUGACUGCGUACCUUUUGUAUAAUGGGUCAGCGACUUAUAUUCUGUAGCAAGGUUAACCGAAUAGGGGAGCCGAAGGGAAACCGAGUCUUAACUGGGCGUUAAGUUGCAGGGUAUAGACCCGAAACCCGGUGAUCUAGCCAUGGGCAGGUUGAAGGUUGGGUAACACUAACUGGAGGACCGAACCGACUAAUGUUGAAAAAUUAGCGGAUGACUUGUGGCUGGGGGUGAAAGGCCAAUCAAACCGGGAGAUAGCUGGUUCUCCCCGAAAGCU